rnacentral:rRNA from 1 species
AGUGAACGCUGGCGGUAGGCCUAACACAUGCAAGUCGAACGGCAGCACAGUAAGAGCUUGCUCUUACGGGUGGCGAGUGGCGGACGGGUGAGGAAUACAUCGGAAUCUACUUUUUCGUGGGGGAUAACGUAGGGAAACUUACGCUAAUACCGCAUACGACCUACGGGUGAAAGCAGGGGAUCUUCGGACCUUGCGCGAUUGAAUGAGCCGAUGUCGGAUUAGCUAGUUGGCGGGGUAAAGGCCCACCAAGGCGACGAUCCGUAGCUGGUCUGAGAGGAUGAUCACCCACACUAGAACGGAAACACGGUCCAGACUCCUACGGGAGGCAGCAGUGGGGAAUAUUGGACAAAGGGCGCAAGCCUGAUCCAGCCAUACCGCGUGGGUGAAGAAGGCCUUCGGGUUGUAAAGCCCUUUUGUUGGGAAAGAAAAGCAUCAGGUUAAUACCCCGCUGUUCUGACGGUACCCAAAGAAUAAGCACCGGCUAACUUCGUG